rnacentral:rRNA from 1 species
GGACUACCGGGGUAUCUAAUCCUGUUUGAUCCCCACGCUGUCGCGCAUGAGUGUCAGUAACGGGCCAGUGAGCCGCCUUCGCCACCGGUGUUCUUCCCAAUAUCUACGAAUUUCACCUCUACACUGGGAAUUCCACUCACCUCUCCCGUACUCAAGCCAAACAGUUUCAAAGGCAAUUCCGGAGUUGAGCUCCGGGCUUUCACCCCUGACUUGGAUGGCCACCUGCGCGCGCUUUACGCCCAGUAAUUCCGAACAACGCUAGCCCCCUUCGUAUUACCGCGGCGGCUGGCAC